rnacentral:lncRNA from 1 species
CUCGAAAGAGGCCAUAUUAGACAGAUCCAAACACACGGCUACCGUUGUAGUUACCAUACAGUGUCAGUGUAGCGUCUGACUUUACUACACCAAAUAUGUGAUGUGUUUUUUUUCAUAAUUUUACCAAUACAAUUUUGCAAGGACACAGAAUCUUACGAGCUUCAUGCAUGACAUACGCGCUCAAGUCAGGGCGUGAUAUACCUUUUCGCAUCAAUGUCUUUAAAACGCUUGAAUUUUAAAAACCGUAAUAAAAGUUAGUAAAAUAUAAAUAUGAAGCUUUUGAUUAUGACUGCCCUGCUGAAUCAGCUUAUUGGUAAUAUAUUAAUAUAUUUAUUGCGAUCAUUGCAGUUUUAAAUAUGACCUAGCAAAUCCAAUUAAUUGUGAAAUAUUUAUCUCAUAAUGUGUUGCAAAUGUCUCUCUUUUCAUAUAUUCUAGUACAAAUUAAAUCAUUAAAUAUAUAGAUAGAGAUUCAAUCAAAUAAAAAGACGCAAAAGUUUCCAGAUUGAGAAUAAAUAUUACCGACUUCUAUCAUUCAAAUAGCGUGAUACAUUGUAAAAUGCUGUAAUUAUGUCAGGCUACGUAGUUUCUUAUAAUUUGUCAUUAUAUAAAGUAGAUUGCUACUUAGAUAAAUAAUUGUAUUUCAUGGUCUGAUGAUAAAUGCUAUAUGAAAAUUAUUGUUCAUAUACCAGUUAGCAGAUUCUUAUAGCUUAACUUUCAUUGCAUAAAGAAGAUGGCCAAUAAGUUACAUGGUCUGUUGGUAAGUGCUAUAUUUUUGUAAUACCAUCUCGUCUUGGCAUGGUACCACAGGCCUGGACCCAGAAAUACGCGGGAGGAGGGGAAUGAGCACCAGUGUAGAACCAAGUCAUCGCCGGCGAGGCGCAUAGCGCCGAGUGGGACAGGCACGGGAUGGGGACCUCCUCUCAUGUUAGUCUCCCUCUGCAAAUUUUUGAAAUAUAUGUAUGAAAUGGUGGCCUCUUGUGAAUUCUGGUCUAGAUUUUGAGGUAUUGAAGGUGGUACUUAGUGGAGUCAGGGGGUCUCCCCCUGGAUUAUUUUUAAAUAUAGGUAUGAAAUGGUGGCCACUGGUGAAUUUUUGGGUCUAAAUUUUGAGUAAAUAUUCCUUUUGCCAACAGACCAUGUAACUUAUUAGCUAUCUACUUUGAUGAGUAUAGGUCACUUCUCAGCCAAUUAGUACUUUGAUCAGUAUAGGUCACUUCUCAGCCAAUUAGUAGGGGUUGGGGCACGGGCUUCCUGGGCCUGAUCCUGGACCCGGGUCUGUACUAUUUACAACUAAAGCACAGGUCUUGGACAUAAAACUGUGAUGUAAGUUGGCGUUCUAAUUUGUAAUUUCAUUCUCUUCCACUAGGUACACGUAUGUAGUUGUAAAUGACUGGUAAUUUGCCGUACAUCUGAUUUUCAUAGACUUACCUUUGUAUAGAGUUGUUGCACCUCCUACUACAUUCUUGCAUUUCUAUUGGUUAAAAGGUUUUCACGUGAUGAUUCUUUUAUUUUUAUGAACGUUUAGUACAUUUUCAUGUCGAGUUGGGCUAAAAACAAGAGGUCCAAAACCAAUCAGUGACUAUCCAUGGAAAUAUGUUGGGACUGUAUAAUAAACAUGGGAACUUGGGUUAACUCCUCACUUCCCCAUCAUUUAUCAUACAUGUACUGAUCGAACGUAUUUCCAUGAACACUAACAAACCCGGUACACAAAAAUAAUUACUUGGUCUGGAAGGAUGGGCUUUAGACUCAGAAGAUUCAUAGUGUCUGUUCAAACUCUUGGAAAUGAAAAACUCAUUCAUUCGAAAGAUUUUAUAAGAUUUCUAUGUAUCUUGACACAAUACCUUGAUAUCAUUGUGAAAUUUUAUAGUUCAUGAAACUAAUGUCAUACACCUUUUAUAAGCAUACUAAAAAUAAAUGUGAUUUUCUCCGGUUAUGUCCGCCUAUGAAAACUUCCUGAUACUAGUAGUAAACAACGCAUGUAUAAUACAUUGAAAGCUAUUUUCUGUCGUAGUUUUUUUAGAGCUUUGAUAGUUUUGAUUAUUAGAUGACCAUUUAAACCACAGGAAAAUGAAGCUUAGUGCGAUACCUUUGUUUUUGCUGUUGAUUUCAAAGUUUUCAAUGUCUCAAUCAUUGUGUUUUGGAUGGACGGGAACAUGUUUCUCGAGUUUUCAAAGUUGCGAAGGGAUCACAUUCGGGAUGAAUAUUCCAGGAUAUUAUACAUGUGCUCGGCAAUGCCAUUGCCUCGGAUACUCAGUAGGAAGCUGCACAAGGGACACUGGGUUCGAACUUUGCUCUCAAAGAGUGCCAUGGAUAUGCCUUUGUCGUGGUCAUGCAAUUCGUAGGAGAAAUAAAAGACGGCACUGUUGAUAGUGGCCACAGAUUUGAGCAAUUUUAACCAUUUUAAACAGGAUUUAGACAAUACAUGAGUGAUUAAAGCCUGUUUGUUUCAAAGUUUAAAGAGUGACAUGGACAAUGUAGAUAUUUACACUGACCUUUAGAAUUCUUUGUAGAAUUUAGACAUCUGAAAUGUUUAAUGAUGAGAACAAAAGACUGUAAACAUUUACUGUUGAUUAUAAUACUGGAGGUUAGAUUAUUUUAAUGUUAUGGAUAAUAGUGGAUUUUAACUCCUAAUUUUAUUCUGACGGUAAGUAUGAACUAGCCAUCUUUAGGCUUUUAGCAAUAAGGGCUUCAGAAAAGUCUAUGUUUAUAUUAACUGUAAUUGUUAAGCAGACUAUGUAUAUAGUCUUUGUUAAUGUUAAUUAUUAUGAUAUUUAAAAUUAUUGUAUAUUUCUAAUAAGUUAUAUGUUGAUACAGAUUUCAAAGUGAUCUUAAAAUGGCAAAUAACGCUCUGUGAAUCAUCUUUUGCAUUAUGUUCAUAUUUAGGACUGAUUUCAUUUACUGAAAAGUUUUACUUCAUUCAAUACUGUAUUCCUUGAUGGAACUUUAAAUUAAUUUUGUAACAAAGUUGUAGGUUCAAACAGUACAUGUAGCGUAUUUUUGCCGAUUCUUUUCUCAAAACAUUUUCCUGUAUUUUGGCCAUUUUUCAUAUUGUUCAGGUUUGGUACACCCUUUUCUUUGUUAUGAUUUAUUCUGGUAUAAAAAUAUGCCUAAGACAAAUAUUGUUAUAUACUAAUAUAUUUUAUUUUUGUAUAUCACUACAUAUGACGAUGCUUUUUAUAUAAAAUAUAAUACCUUCAAAGUAAGCGUAAUGAAGAAAAUAUGAAACAGAAAUAACAAUUUCAAAUGAAGAAAAAAUAAUCAGAAAAGUAGGCUAAAUAAAUAGCAAAGUAGCGAAUUAAAAUACCAAGCACGACAUUUCAUAAUAUCUAAAUUAAAUCAAGAAUUGAAAUCAGUUACGUUAUCAAUACAUCUUAAAGGUGUAAAAGCCAACAUAUCUAGCACACUAAUUUCAAGUAACUGCCCUGGUUAAACUAAAAAUACUGAAUCUGAGGUUCGCGGGUUCGAUCUUCGGGCGCCGCGUAUAUGACAAUUUGAUAACAAAAACAUUUGUAAAUCAACAGUGGGUUUGUGAAAAAGAAUCAACGAUAACUACAAUAGAGUCUAUGAUUAAUGCAAAUUAAAUAGUUUAGAUUUUAUUUACAAGGUGAUACUUAACUAUUUAUUCAAUUAUAUAUAUGUUGAUGACAUUCUUUGACGUAUUUAACCAUUCUUUCGUGAAUAUUUUUAUUAUUGAUAUGAUGUGUUCAACUUAUUUAUUUAUUACACUGACGAAUGUCCUAACAGUAGAAAAUCCAUGUACAGACUUUUUAUGUGUAUGUGUAUAAUUUCGUGUAUUAUGCAUAUUAUAAAAAGUCAAUAAACGAU